ACCUCAAGUCAAGUAAGAGUACCCGCUGAACUUAAGCAUAUCAAUAAGCGGAGGAAAAGAAACUAACAAGGAUUUCCUUAGUAACGGCGAGUGAAGUGGUAAAAGCUCAAAUUUUAAAUCACCAAGGUUUCUUUGGUGAAUUGUAAUUUGAAGAAAGUCGUUUUGAUAUUCGGGUUUUAUCCAAGUCCUUUGGGAUAAGGUAUCAUAGAGGGUGAGAAUCCCGUUCAUGAUUAAACCUUGAUGUCACUUAAUUCACUUUCUAAGAGUCGAGUUGUUUGGGAUUGCAGCUCAAAAUGGGUGGUAAAUUUCACCUAAGGCUAAAUAUAUGCAAGAGACCGAUAGCGAACAAGUACCGUGAGGGAAAGAUGAAAAGAACUUUGAAAAGAGAGUUAAAUAGUACGUGAAAUUGUUGAAAGGGAAACGAUUGAAGUCAGUCAUGCUAGUAGGGAAUCAACUUGAUGGAUCGUAGGACUUAUCUUAUGAUCUUUCUUGUGCACUUUCUUGCUUGGCAGGUUAGCAUCAAUUUCGGGUAUCAUUAAAAAAUCGAGGGAAUGUAGCUUUCUUUCGGGAAAGUGUUAUAGACCUUGAUAAAAUGUGGUGACCGAGAUUGAGGAUUGCAGCGGAUACCUCUUAAGGCUAGUCACCUUGCUUCUGACGGUUACCCUGCUUUCGAGAGCUCGCUCACGAUUGUGGGAUUCAACAGUCUAGAUGUUAGAGUGAUCUUAAAUUCGCUAAGGAUGCUGACGUAAUGGCUUUAAACGACCCGUCUUGAAACACUGACCAAGGAGUCUAACAUAUGUGCGAGUGUUU
rnacentral:rRNA from 1 species